rnacentral:rRNA from 1 species
GAUGAACGCUGGCGGCGUGCCUAAUACAUGCAAGUCGAGCGAACAGACGAGGUUCUUGCUCCUCUGACGUUAGGGGCGGACGGGUGAGUAACACGUGGAUAACCUACCUAUUUGGCUGGGAUAACGUCGAGAAACGGUAGUAAAUACCGGAUAAUAUAUUGAACCGCAUGGUGCAAUAGAGAAAGACGGUUUUGCGGUCACUUAUAGAUGGAUCCGCGCCGCAGUAGCGAGUUGGUAAGGUAACGGCUUACCAAGGCAACGAUGCGUAGCCGACCUGAGAGGGUGCUCGGCCGCACUGGAACUGAGACACGGUCCAGACUCCUACGGGAGGCAGCAGUAGGCCAUCUUCCGCAAUGGGCGAGAGCCUGACGGAGCGGCGCCGCGUCAGUGAUGACGGCCCUCGGAUCGUGAAGCUCUGUUAUUAGGUAAGAACAAAUGUGUAAGUAACUAUGGCCGUCUUGGCCGUGCCUAAUCAGAGAGCCACGGCUAAAUUCGUGC